rnacentral:rRNA from 1 species
CCAGACUCCUACGGGAGGCAGCAGUGAGGAAUAUUGGUCAAUGGGCGCGAGCCUGAACCAGCCAAGUCGCGUGAGGGAUGACGGCCCUACGGGUUGUAAACCUCUUUUGCCGGGGAGCAACGGGGUCCUUGCGAGGGCCCGAUGAGAGUACCCGGAGAAAAAGCAUCGGCUAACUCCGUGCCAGCAGCCGCGGUAAUACGGAGGAUGCGAGCGUUAUCCGGAUUUAUUGGGUUUAAAGGGUGCGUAGGCGGGCUGUUAAGUCAGCGGUAAAAGGGCGGGGCUCAACCCCGGCCUGCCGUUGAAACUGGGGAUCUAGAGUGUGCGAGAGGUAUGCGGAAUGCGUGGUGUAGCGGUGAAAUGCAUAGAUAUCACGCAGAACCCCGAUUGCGAAGGCAGCAUACCGGUGCACAACUGACGCUCAGGCACGAAAGCGUGGGUAUCGAACAGGAUUAGAUACCCCGGUAA